rnacentral:lncRNA from 1 species
AAAGACUCGCCUCUGUCCGGCGACAAAACCCCAGAAAUUUCUCCGGCCAACUCUGACACACACGCCCCCACGCGCCGCCAACACCUUCAGCGCGUGGCACCCUUUCCGGCCAGAAUUUCCAGUGACUCCUUCAGGACAGUUUGCUCGCCCUUGAAUUUCGACCCUACCCAUCCUAUUUUCGUUCGAUUCCGACAACCUUGAGUUUUUUCCGGCGACUUUACUGACUUUUCCGGCAGCUACAGUACUUUCCGGCCAGAAUU